rnacentral:lncRNA from 1 species
UUUAAAAUGCUUUUUGAAAUAAUGCCCUUUCUCUUCUGAAGGCUCUCAAGCUCUUACAAAAGUGGAGAAAUUACCCUGUUUGUGAGAAACAGGCACAGAGCUGUGGUGCCUGCACUGCUGGCAGCUUUUUGCUGUUUGCCCCAACUUGCCAAUAACCAAAUAAAACAACACCUGUUAAUUGCCCUUUCUUUGCAAAAUCCACUAAUUUCAUAAGCACUAGGAGGGUGAGUCUGCAUUGCUCACGUUGAGGUUUGACCUUGUAAAUCCAGGUUUGCUGGAGACCUGCUGCUGUCAGGGGUACAAGCAGUGUUUGGAGUUUGCUGUUUCACAGGAGGGACUUUCUGUUGUGGGAGAUGUUGUUUUGGCCUUGGACACCUCCUCUUAACAAGCUCCUUCUCCAGGGAAGCUUUGAAACCCGCCUGAGGUUCUGCAUUGGCUCUGAAUGAAAGGUGUUGUGCGUCUGAAGUGCCCGGCCCAAGGGCUCUCCAGCAAUGCAAACAGCCAGCACACAAAGCCAUUAAAGCUCGAGUGCCUGGCCAUGAUUGCCUGAAGACAGUUUGCAGCUGAGUCCCGCAGGAACCGGCUUUGUCUGAAAAACCACCCGAGGCAGGUGGGGAAAGUCCAGCCAUCCACGACUUGUCCUGCAGCCAAGAGGGUCCAGGUCAGUGCUGGGGAGCAGGACUGUGCUGCCACAGGGAUCUCCACACUGCAGCCCUUGCCCUGCAGCCAAAGCAGCACUGCUUUGGUGUUGCUCAGAGACAGCAGCCAGUCAGAGCAGGAGAGAUGCCAGACUUCAGAAAAGAGCAGGGAGUGGGGCUGAAGCGAGGGAGAAAGAGGAGGAUUGUCUCAGGUGAGGGCAGUGCCCUCUGAAGCAGGAGGACACCUCC